rnacentral:rRNA from 1 species
AACGAACGCUGGCGGCAUGCCUAACACAUGCAAGUCGAACGAGACCUUCGGGUCUAGUGGCGCACGGGUGCGUAACGCGUGGGAACCUGCCCUUAGGUUCGGAAUAACUCCCCGAAAGGGGUGCUAAUACCGGAUAAUGUCUUCGGACCAAAGAUUUAUCGCCUUUGGAUGGGCCCGCGUUGGAUUAGCUAGUUGGUAGGGUAAAAGCAUACCAAGGCGACGAUCCAUAGCUGGUCUGAGAGGAUGAUCAGCCACACUGGGACUGAGACACGGCCCAGACUCCUACGGGAGGCAGCAGUGGGGAAUAUUGGACACUGGGCGAAAGCCUGAUCCAGCAAUGCCGCGUGAGUGAUGAAGGCCUUAGGGUUGUAAAGCUCUUUUACCCGGGAUGAUAAUGACAGUACCGGGAGAAUAAGCUCCGGCUAACUCCGUG